CCAUGGCUCAGUGGUAGAGCACCUGCCUUUCAUGUAGAAGGCGGCGCGUUCAAUUCCUGGUAUCUCCAGG